GUUAUUUAUAAAAAAAAGAAUUUUUAUAUAAGUAUAUUUUAGAAAAUAAGAGGUUAAUUAUAGUGAAUAGUAUAGUGAUAGAAUUUUGAAUUAUUUUUAAAGUUAAUUAUAAAAAAGAAGAAUUUAAUUUUUGUACCUUGUGUAUCAGGGUUUAUUAAAAAAAGUUAAUUAUUUAAUUUUCUCGAAUUAAAAAGAGCUAUAACUAUAUAAAUUUAAAUGUUGCAUAAUUUUUUAUAAUAUAGUUAUAGUAAUGAAACGUUAGUCGUUUUUUAAUAUAUCUAGUUUCUUAAGAAAUAAAUUUAAUUUAAUUUUUUAAUUAUUUAUUAUUAAUUGUUUAGUGGUAUGUAUUAAGAAUUAAAUAUUUUAAGGGAUAAGCUUUAAAAUAAAUUAUUAAAAAUAUAUUUUAUAUUUAUAUAAGAUGGGUAGGAUUGGAAAUUUUUAUCUAUAGUUUGUUAUAAUUAAUUUUAUAUUAAAUAAGAUUUAUAUUAAUUUUAAUUUUUUUAUUAAGAAUAUUUAUAUAAUUAUAUAUUAUAUGAAAUAAUGAUAAAAUUAGUAUAGUUUUAUGUAUAUUAUAGUUAAAUUUUAAGGUUAAAUUAAGGAACUCGGCAAAUAUAUUUUUCGCCUGUUUAUUAAAAACAUGUCUUUUUGAUUAUAAUUUAAAGUCUAACCUGCCCAAUGAGGAGUUAAAUGGCCGCGGUAUUUUGACCGUGCAAAGGUAGCAUAAUCAUUAGUUUUUUAAUUGAAAGCUGGUAUGAAUGGUUGGACGAGAAAAUAACUGUCUCAAUUUAAAUUGAAUUAGAAUUUUAUUUAUGAGUAAAAAAGCUCAUAUAAGUUUAAAAGACGAGAAGACCCUAUAGAAUUUAAUAUAUGUAUAUAUAUAUUAUUUUUAGAAUUAAUAAUAAGGUAUAUGUAAUUAUAUUUUGUUGGGGUGAUAGAAAAAUUAAAAUAACUUUUUUUAUAUAAAAACAUUAAUGUAUGAAAAAAUGAUCCGUUAAUUACGAUUAUAAGAUUAAAUUACCUUAGGGAUAACAGCGUAAUUUUUUUUUAGAGUUCUUAUCGAAAAAAGAGUUUGCGACCUCGAUGUUGGAUUAAAAUUAACUUUUGGUGUAGGGGCUAAAAGGUUAGGUCUGUUCGACCUUUAAAAUUUUACAUGAUCUGAGUUUAAACCGGUGUGAGCCAGGUUGGUUUCUAUCUUUAAAAUAAUUAAAUGUUUUAGUACGAAAGGAUUAAACAUUUAUAAAAUUUAUUAUAUUUUGAAUGUUAUUAUUACUUUGGCAGAUUAGUGCUU
rnacentral:rRNA from 1 species